AAUCCAUGGUGAGGACACCUCCUAAGCAAAUCUUUAUACCUUUCCCAAGCCUCAUACAGUGAUUCAAAAUCAAAUUGCAUAAAAGAAGUGAUAUCAUUCUGUAUCU
rnacentral:snoRNA from 1 species